rnacentral:rRNA from 1 species
UACGAAGGGGGCUAGCGUUGCUCGGAAUCACUGGGCGUAAAGGGUGCGUAGGCGGGGAUUUAAGUCAGGGGUGAAAUCCUGGAGCUCAACUCCAGAACUGCCUUUGAUACUGAGUAUCUUGAGUACGGGAGAGGUGAGUGGAACUGCGAGUGUAGAGGUGAAAUUCGUAGAUAUUCGCAAGAACACCAGUGGCGAAGGCGGCUCACUGGCCCGUUACUGACGCUGAGGCACGAAAGCGUGGGGAGCAAACAGG